UGGGGAAUUUUGGACAAUGGGCGAAAGCCUGAUCCAGCAAUGCCGCGUGUGUGAAGAGGGCCUUCGGGUUGUAAAGCACUUUUGUCCGGAAAGAAAUCCUCUGGGUUAAUACCUCGGGGGGAUGACGGUACCGGAAGAAUAAGCACCGGCUAACUACGUGCCAGCAGCCGCGGUAAUACGUAGGGUGCAAGCGUUAAUCGGAAUUACUGGGCGUAAAGCGUGCGCAGGCGGUUUUGUAAGACGGAUGUGAAAUCCCCGGGCUUAACCUGGGAACUGCAUUCGUGACUGCAAGGCUAGAGUAUGGCAGAGGGGGGUAGAAUUCCACGUGUAGCAGUGAAAUGCGUAGAGAUGUGGAGGAAUACCGAUGGCGAAGGCAGCCCCCUGGGCCAAUACUGACGCUCAUGCACGAAAGCGUGGGGAGCAAACAGGAUUAGAUACCCUGGUAGUCCACGCCCUAAACGAUGUCAACUAGUUGUUGGGGAUUCAUUUCCUUAGUAACGUAGCUAACGCGUGAAGUUGACCGCCUGGGGAGUACGGUCGCAAGAUUAAAACUCAAAUGAAUUGACGGGGUCAUAGCUGUUUCCU
rnacentral:rRNA from 1 species